rnacentral:rRNA from 1 species
UACGAGGGGGGCAAGCGUUGUUCGGAAUUACUGGGCGUAAAGAGUGUGUAGGCGGUGCUCUAAGUUCGGUGUGAAAUCUCCUGGCUCAACUGGGAGGGUGCGCCGGAAACUGGAGUGCUUGAGCGUGGGAGAGGAAAGCGGAAUUCCUGGUGUAGCGGUGAAAUGCGUAGAUAUCAGGAGGAACACCUGCGGUGUAGACGGCUUUCUGGACCAUUGCUGACGCUGAGACACGAAAGCGUGGGUAGCAAACAGG